AGGAGCGGUAUGAAGGGAAACUUUCACGUACCGUUUUGGAGGGAAGUAGAGGAAGGUAACUUCUUCUACUCACCUAAC
rnacentral:ncRNA from 1 species